rnacentral:rRNA from 1 species
UACAGGGGGUGCAAACGUUGCUCGGAAUCAUUGGGCGUAAAGCGCACGUAGGCGGUUCGUUAUGUCGGAUGUGAAAGCCCUUGGCUUAACCGAGGAAGUGCAUCCGAAACUGGCGAGCUAGAGUACGAAAGAGGAUCGCGGAAUUCCCGGUGUAGAGGUGAAAUUCGUAGAUAUCGGGAGGAACACCGGUGGCGAAGGCGGCUCACUGGACCGGUUCUGACGCUGAGGAGCGAAAGCAUGGGGAGCGAACAGG